ACCAGGAGCACAACAAGGAUGUUACAUGCUAUUCAAUUCAGAUCUACACACGUUUGCUCAGAAUCUUUGAUCAGUUUUGGAUGUAAUCAUGUGAGGAACACUCUUUCAAGUAGUUCCUCACUCAGAUACCGUCCAUGUAGGAAUCAUCACAGCAAACAAGCAAGAAAACUCAGUCAUCACAGCAAACAAGCAAGAAAAGGGAAAAAAUGAACAUCUCAAUGGGCUGAUCUAUUAUAUCAAAAGUAGUGAUGCUUUAAAAGGGGCGACACUAUAUAAAGGGCAGAAUAUUGAACCUAGUGAAAGCAUCAAGCAUAUAUUUUUCCAUCCAGUUGGGAGAACAGUUCAAAUUUACACAUGUUUUCUCUGAGUCUCUGAUCAGUAUUGGAUAUAAUCAUGUGAGGAACACUUUUAAGUGGUUCCUUACUCAGAUCGUCCUUACCAAAGAGGUCAUGCCUGCGUGACACUCUACAUAAUGAGCUUACACAGUGAAGCCAAUGAAGGCAUGUUAUUCUUUUCAGCUGGGAAAGCAGUUCAAUCACAGGAAGGAUUUUGCUCAACAGGCACAGCGACUUCAUUAUUUAUUAUUUAAUUCAGAAUUGCAUGUUUGCUCAGAAUCUCUGAUCAGUUUUGGAUAUAAUCAUGUGAGGAGCUCUCUUUCAAGAGGUUCCUCACUCAGAUACCGUCCUUGUAGGAAUCAUCAUGGCAAACAAUCAAGAAAAGAAAUGUUAAUGGGCCUAACUGUUAACUUCAAAGGGAAAUUAUGUUUAAGUGUAAAAAGAGCAGAAACCAAGCAGAUACAUUAAGCGCGUAUCAUUGACAGGUUUGCAUAACAGUCAAAUGUACGACAGGAUUGAUACUCUGGUUCUAUUCAGAUUCACAUGUUUGCUCAGAAUCUCUGAUCAGUUUUGGAUGUAAUCACGCAAGGAGUACUCUUUCAAGAGCCACCUUACUCAGAUACCGUCCUUGUAGAUGUCAUCACAGCAAACAAUCAUCAUAAAAAAAAAAUAGGGGGUGUAGCAUGACUGUAACCAAGCCUACAUAGAACAGGAACAGCAAAAUAUUCCUUCUUUCACAGAGUGAAAAAUAUGCAGAGUUUUGCUCAGACAUUUUUAGUCUCAGUUUAGGUAUAAUCACGUGAGGAUAGAUCCAUCGCUCAGAUACCGUCCUUGUAGAUGUCAUCACAGCAAUUAUGAGAUACAGUCAUUAAGUUGAGCAGGCCCACAAACUUAAAAACCACCUCAUUCCAAUCUAACCAUGUAACUCAGCGACAUCAACUCAAUCAAAAUGUACUACCUUAUAAUACGUAGUACCUUAACAUGUUUCUCAGGUUGAGAAACAGUCAAAUGUACAACAGGAUAGACAAUUUCUUCUGUUCAGACACAUGUUUGCUCAGAAUCUCUGAUCAGUUUUGGAUGUAAUCACAUAAGGAGUACUCUUUCAAGAACCUUACUCAGAUACCGUCCUUGUAGGAAUCAUCAAGGCAAACAAUCAUUCUAAAUCCAGUGCAAAACAAUCAUUCUAAAUCCAGUGCAAAUCAUCAUUCUCAUUUCAAGGCAGUAACAAAGACGACACAGAACACGAAUAGCAUAUGCUGGUUGCUGCUUAGUUCUGAACAGCGAGAAGCAAAUAUUCCAACUUCCAGAUGGUAAAAAAGAAAUGCAGAGUUUUGCUCAGACAUUUUUAGUCUCAGUUUAGGUAUAAUCACGCGAGGAUAGAUCCGUCGCUCAGAUACCGUCCUAUUAGAUGUCAUCACAGCAAUUUAAUUUGAGAUACAAUCAGUUCAGCAGGCAGAUUAACUUGCACGCCUCAUUCCAAUUUAAUCUAAUCAUCUAGCUCAGCUAGCUCAGCGAUAUCAACUCAAACAAAUCCUACCACCUGAACAUACACUACCACACAAGAGCAACCUUAACAACAAGAUGAUAAGAGAAUGAGAACGAUACAAUACCA
rnacentral:lncRNA from 1 species